ensembl:snRNA U4 U4 spliceosomal RNA
AGCUUUGCGCAGUGGCAGUAUCGUAGCCAAUGAGGUUUAUCCGAGGCGCGAUUAUUGCUAAUUGAAAAAUGUCACAUAUUAGUAAAAACCUUUACCUUCCCUGCAGAAUCUGCGGCAGCACGGCGUUGCAAGAGGAGUUUUGCCACAUCCAGGCUUCCAUACUUGGCUGCUACAUGCAGGGGAGUGAAACCUUUCUGGAAUGUGAAGAACAAA